GGGCGAUUAGCACAGUGGUAGCGNNNACACGGAAGAGGUCACUGGUUCGAAACCAGUAUCGCCCA
rnacentral:tRNA from 1 species